GCUAGCAACUCCCUUCACCAUUCUACACUGCAACCUCCACAAUUAUAGUCUCCAAUCUGCACUCUUCUAUCUAUUAGAAACAUGCUCCACUCAUUUUGAAAAUUUUCAUCGGCUCCCCAAGCUCAUUUCACCAAAAAUCAAGUAUUGAGGUAAAGAUUCACAAUCAUUUCUUUUAUCUCCUUUUAAGAACACCACCCAUUUCGUUUGAAAAAUAUUCAUGAUCUGAACUUUCACAGCAAACAAGCAAAAAAUCAGAAUACCAACUGAAAUCCUCGCCAAGGUAACCACUUGACUUUUUCGCCUACCUCUGUUUAUACAUUACGCCUCUAGCUCCAAAUUGGUUUAUCAGAAACCACAAAUAAACCUCAUGAUUUACACAGCAAAACAUUUCAAGCAUUUCAAAAGAAUGACAUUUAUUUAUUCAUAC
rnacentral:lncRNA from 1 species